UACUCUCAUGGCACAAUGGCUAAUGAGCGUACCCUUCCUGCAGUCCAGGAAGUAAAAAUAGCGUUGCUGAAAGAUCCUUUGUCUCAGUGCUAUUUUUUCUUUGCAGCACCAAGCAUCUAUUUCCAAUAAGGGCAAUUUACUGAGGCCUGGGACCUUCCCACAGAAUCCCUGCUCUCCCAAAAUCUGGCUGAGAUCUCAAGUUUAUUUUGCUGUACAGCUCCUUUUCUGGAGCUUUACUUGCUUCCAACAAGGAAGGCAAGUUUUCCUGCUUCUAUGACAAUGGAAAGGCUGGCAGUGUCUGGAGUUUGAGCUCACAGCCAACAGGGAAGAUGGAAUCUUGCUCUGUCAUCCAGGCUGGAGUUCAGCGGCACAAUCUUAUCUCACUACAACCACCAUCUCCUGGGUUCAAACGAUUCUCCUGUCUCAGCCUCCUGAGUAGCUGGGACCACAGGAAAAGCUGACCAGCAUUCACAUCAGCACAGGCCUGAAGUCUGAUAGGAAACAUUUACAAUCUAUUCUCUCUCAAGCCUACGACCUGAGGCUUCUGCUGCACAGAAAACCACGACCCCUUACGGCAACCCAGACAUUUUUUUCCGCUGAUAAUAGCUUCUUCAACCAAUUGUCAAUCAGAAAAAUGCUGAAUCUACCAAGAACCUAGAAGUCCCCCCAAACCACCCCGCCUUCUCCUGCCCUUUCAGAUUGAACCCAUGUAAAUAAAUAAUGUCUUCCUAAAAUGUAUAAAAGCAAGCUGGGCCACAGG